GUCUGAUUAUACCAUAACAGUCAGAUGCACAAAACUAUGCAUGGAACUACAGUCAUAAUGCCGAAUUUGCGGUCAACAUACAUGGCAAUGUCUAGAAAACUUCAGCUACCUUGGUUGCAAGAAUGCGUUCUCGUCUUUCUACAUAUCCAAAUGGGAACCAACCUCCUUUUCCCUUGCACUCACCUUCAGCCCAACCAUUGUUUGACACUUUUCUAACAACUACAUAGUCACCAAUCAAUAAUGUGAGCUCUACAUCUGACUCAGCUUCAUAUGGGUGUACGACCUCUGCCAAGUAAUACGUUGUCCCAUCUAUGGAUCCAUCAUAUGACUUAAAAUGAAGGCCACCAUUAACAUCAGUAUAAGAUGGGGGAGGAGGCAUCGUAUUAUCUGUGGCUGAACUAGGAGAUGCUUCAAUUCUUUGACGCUCCGACAUCAUCUCUGCCUCAAGCUGAUCAAGUAUCUGCAAAACUCGCUCAUGAUAAUGGCG
rnacentral:misc_RNA from 1 species